AACAAGGCGUACCUGCGGACCUGCGGAGGGAUCAUUACUGAGUCACGUGCUCAAACAACCCUUCUGUGGACCUGAAAUAAAACCGUUGCCUCGGCGGGCGGUCCCCCCCAAACCAACCCCACGUGGUGGUUAGGGGAGACCAGACAGUCCGGUACGCUUAAGGCGUCCGGCGCCAGCCGCUGGCCCCAAACAAUUAAACUCUAGUAAUCUUUACCUUCUGAGUUUCAAUAUUUAAAAAUA
rnacentral:misc_RNA from 1 species